CCCCCCCCCCGAUCGAAGCCCAUUUCGGGCCGCGCCGCCGCAGCUGGUUUCAAAUUUGAUCAGCGAUGAACUUUAUUUUCCGAGUUUGAGGAAAAUUAUAUCCAUCGAUCCGCCGGCCCCGCUCGGCCGCUACUUAAAGCCCCGGCGCCGGCCCGCGGCCCCGGAGCCUUCGUCCCGCUCCUCUUCCUCCUCCUCCUCCUCCUCCUCCUCUUCCCCGCUCCCUCCGGCUCCGCUUCCCGCCUUCCUCCCCUUCCUCCUCUUCCUCCUCCUGCUCUCCUUCCCUCCCUGCCCUUCUCCUCGUCCUUUCCUCCUCUUCCUCCUCCGCCGCUUUUCCUCCCUCAUCCCCCUCUGCUCUUCCUCCUUCGUCUCCUUCCUCCUCCUCCUCCUCCUCCGCUUUUCCUCCCUCAUCCCCCUCUGCUCUUCCUCCUUCGUCUCCUUCCUCCUCCUCCUCCUCCGCCGCUUUUCCUCCCUUAUCCCCCUCUGCUCUUCAUCUCCUUCCUCCUCCUCCUCCUCCUCCAGCCCUUCUCCCUCUUCCUCCGGACCUUUCUCCGCUCCCUCCAUCCCUCCUCUCCUCCUCCUCCUCUUCCUCCCUCCUCCUCCCCCUCUGCCCCGUCCCUCUCUCCUCCCUCUCCCCUGCCCCGCUCCCACCUGCCCGCUCCGCUCUUCCUCCUCCUCCUCCUCCUCCUCCUCCUCCUCCUCUUCCUCCUUCCCUCUCUCCCACCCCGGACCCUCCGUUCCCGCAUCCCGGCUCCCUCCGCCCCCCCCCGCCGCCCCUUCCCCGCUGUCCCGCUCCUCCCGCAUCCCGGUUUUCCAUCCCCGCAUCCCGGUUUUCCAUCCCCGUCCCUCCCGCAUCCCGGUUUUCCAACCCCGCUCGUCCCGGUUUUCCACCCCUGCACCUCUCCCGCAUCCCGGUUUUCCAACCCCGCUCGUCCCGCAUCCCGGUUUUCCAUCCCCGGACCUUCCCCGCAUCCCGGUUUUCCAACCCCGCUCGUCCCGGUUUUCCAUCCCCACACCUCUCCCGCAUCCCGGUUUUCCAUCCCCGGACCUUCCCCGCAUCCCGGUUUUCCAUCCCCGGACCUUCCUCGCAUCCCGGUUUUCCAUCCCCGCCGUCCCCGCUCCUUCCCUCUCUGCUCGCUCCGUCUCCGCCGUCCCGGCUCCCUCCGAUCCCGCUCGCUCCGGUCCCGCUCCUUCCAUCCCCGCCGAUCCCGGCUCCAUCCCCGCUCCGUCCAUCCCCGCAUUCCCGGUCCUUCCCUUCCCGUUCCAUCCCCGCCGAUCCCGCUCCCUCCAUCCCCGCAUCCCGGCUCCAUCCCCGCCGAUCCCGGUCCCUGCAUCCCCCUCCGAUCCCGCUCCGUCCAUCCCCGCAUUCCCGGUCCUUCCCUUCCCGUUCCAUCCCCGCUCCGUCCAUCCCCGCAUUCCCGGUCCUCCCUUUCCCGUUCCAUCCCCGCCGACCCCGCUCUUCCCUUCCCGACCCCGGGCGCUCCCUCCACGCCGUCCCGGCUCCCUCCGUUCCCGCAUUCCCGCUCCCUUCCGAUCCCGGUUCCCCCCGGGCCGAUCCCUCUCCGACCCCCGGUUCUUCCCUCUCCCACCGACCCCGCUCCGUCCAUCCCCGCAUUGCCGGUCCUUCCCUUCCCUCCCUGCUCCAGCCCCACCGAUCCCGGUCCCUCCAUCCCCGCUCCCACCGACCCCCGGUUUCCCCGCUCCCACCGAC
ensembl:lncRNA